GAUGAACGCUGGCGGCGUGCUUAACACAUGCAAGUCGAACGGGAAACCUUUUAUUGAAGCUUCGGCAGAUUUAGCUGGUUUCUAGUGGCGGACGGGUGAGUAACGCGUGGGUAACCUGCCUUAUACAGGGGGAUAACAGUCAGAAAUGGCUGCUAAUACCGCAUAAGCGCACAGAGCUGCAUGGCUCAGUGUGAAAAACUCCGGUGGUAUAAGAUGGACCCGCGUUGGAUUAGCUGGUUGGUGGGGUAACGGCCCACCAAGGCGACGAUCCAUAGCCGGCCUGAGAGGGUGAACGGCCACAUUGGGACUGAGACACGGCCCAGACUCCUACGGGAGGCAGCAGUGGGGAAUAUCGCACAAUGGGGGAAACCCUGAUGCAGCGACGCCGCGUGAAGGAAGAAGUAUCUCGGUAUGUAAACUUCUAUCAGCAGGGAAGAUAAUGACGGUACCUGACUAAGAAGCCCCGGCUAACUACGUG
rnacentral:rRNA from 1 species